rnacentral:rRNA from 1 species
CCUACGGGGGGCAGCAGUAGGGAAUCUUCCGCAAUGGACGAAAGUCUGACGGAGCAACGCCGCGUGAGCGAAGAAGGUCUUCGGAUCGUAAAGCUCUGUUGUUAGGGAAGAACAAGUACGGGAGGAAAUGACCGUACCUUGACGGUACCUAACGAGGAAGCCACGGCUAACUACGUGCCAGCAGCCGCGGUAAUACGUAGGUGGCAAGCGUUGUCCGGAGUUAUUGGGCGUAAAGCGCGCGCAGGCGGUCUUUUAAGUCUGAUGUGAAAUCUUGCGGCUCAACCGCAAGCGGUCAUUGGAAACUGGGGGGCUUGAGUGCAGAAGGAGAAAGCGGAAAUCCACGGGGAGCGGUGAAAUGGGGAGAGAUGUGGGGGGAACCCAGGGGGGGAAGCGGGUUUCUGGUCUGUAACUGACGCUGAGGCGCGAAAGCGUGGGGAGCAAACAGGAUUAGAUACCCGUGUAGUC